AACUCGACAUGGAUGAAGACAAUGGUGAGCAGCACGGUGGGACUCGCCUUCUCCUCACAGAAAAGGAGUGGACCGAGAGGAUGAAGAAGAAUCGCAAGAACAACAAGAAGAAGAUGCGAUGCUUCAACUGCCAAGAACUUGGCCACUUCGCUUGGGAGUGUCCAGAGAAGAAGAAGGACCAAGCCCAUGAGAAGAAGAAGGCACAAGAAGAAGAGGAGAAGGCACUGCUCGCUGGUUACCGACAUCGACGAGCCAGCUCUUCUCUGAAGCUUUGAGAAGAUUAGAUGAUCAAGAUUAGGGGGGAAAUGGUUAGCUUAAUCUUGAUCUUUGUAUCUGCAUGUUGUUUUCUUGUUCUGCAU
rnacentral:lncRNA from 1 species